AGUGAACGCUGGCGGUAGGCCUAACACAUGCAAGUCGAACGGCAGCACAGAGGAGCUUGCUCCUUGGGUGGCGAGUGGCGGACGGGUGAGGAAUACAUCGGAAUCUACUCUGUCGUGGGGGAUAACGUAGGGAAACUUACGCUAAUACCGCCUACGACCUACGGGUGAAAGCAGGGGACCUUCGGGCCUUGCGCGAUUGAAUGAGCCGAUGUCGGAGUAGCUAGUUGGCGGGGUAAAGGCCCACCAAGGCGACGAUCCGGAUCUGGUCUGAGAGGAUGAUCAGCCACACUGGAACUGAGACACGGUCCAGACUCCUACGGGAGGCAGCAGUGGGGAAUAUUGGACAAUGGGCGCAAGCCUGAUCCAGCCAUACCGCGUGGGUGAAGAAGGCCUUCGGGUUGUAAAGCCCUUUUGUUGGGAAAGAAAUCCAGCUGGCUAAUACCCGGUUGGAUGACGGUACCCAAAGAAUAAGCACCGGCUAACUUCGUGCCAGCAGCCGCCGCCG
rnacentral:rRNA from 1 species